rnacentral:rRNA from 1 species
GACGAACCGGGCGAACGUUGUUCGGAAUCACUGGGUUUAAAGGGGGCGUAGGCGGGCUAUCAAGUCUGGGGUGAAAUCCCACGGCUCAACCGUGGAACUGCCUCAGAUACUGACGGCCUCGAGGGAGAUAGGGGCAUGCGGAACUGUAGGUGGAGCGGUGAAAUGCGUUGAUAUCUACAGGAACUCCGGUGGCGAAAGCGGCGUGCUGGAUCUCUUCUGACGCUGAGUCUCGAAAGCUAGGGGAGCAAACGGG